rnacentral:rRNA from 1 species
CAGUAGCCCGGGAAUACGAAGGGGGCUAGCGUUGUUCGGAUUUACUGGGCGUAAAGCGCACGUAGGCGGACUUUUAAGUCAGGGGUGAAAUCCCGGGGCUCAACCCCGGAACUGCCUUUGAUACUGGAAGUCUUGAGUAUGGUAGAGGUGAGUGGAAUUCCGAGUGUAGAGGUGAAAUUCGUAGAUAUUCGGAGGAACACCAGUGGCGAAGGCGGCUCACUGGACCAUUACUGACGCUGAGGUGCGAAAGCGUGGGGAGCAAACAGGAUUAGAUACCCCAGUAGUCCCUGUCUCUUAUACA